GAGUUAUAAAGAAGAGCGGAGAGAACAGGCUCGCAGAUGCUCUGGCAACCGGCUAAAGCAAGGUGCCACAACCUGCCCAAAAGGGAAUUAUAACUA
rnacentral:ncRNA from 1 species